UGCGCAGGUGGGCUUGUAAGUCAGUGGUGAAAUACUGCCGCUUAACGGUAGAACUGCCAUUGAUACUGCAAGUCUUGAAUAUGGUUGAGGUAGGCGGAAUGUGUCGUGUAGCGGUGAAAUGCAUAGAUAUGACACAGAACGCCGAUUGCGAAGGCAGCUUACUAAGCCAUUAUUGACGCUGAGGUACGAAAGCGUGGGGAGCGAACAGGAUUAGAUACCCUGGUAGUCC
rnacentral:rRNA from 1 species